rnacentral:rRNA from 1 species
UACAGAGGUGGCAAGCGUUGUUCGGAAUUACUGGGCGUAAAGGGCGCGUAGGCGGCCUUCUAAGUCAGACGUGAAAUCCCCAGGCUUAACUUGGGAACUGCGUCUGAUACUGGAAGGCUUGAGUGCGGGAGAGGGAUGUGGAAUUCCAGGUGUAGCGGUGAAAUGCGUAGAUAUCUGGAGGAACACCGGUGGCGAAGGCGGCAUCCUGGACCGGCAUUGACGCUGAGGCGCGAAAGCGUGGGGAGCAAACGGG